rnacentral:rRNA from 1 species
AGAAUCAACGCUGGCGGCGUGCCUAACACAUGCAAGUCGCACGAGAAAGGGACUUCGGUCCUGAGUACAGUGGCGCACGGGUGAGUAACACGUGAAUAAUCUACCUCCGAGUGGGGAAUAACUGAGAGAAAUCUUAGCUAAUACCGCAUAACACUUACGAGUCAAAGCAGCAAUGCGCUUGGAGAGGAGUUCGCGGCAGAUUAGUUAGUUGGCGGGGUAAUGGCCCGCCAAGACGAUGAUCUGUA